GCUCGUAGUUGGAUUUUGGGCGCAGGCGGCCGGUCCGUCGCAAGGCGUGUACUGGACGUCCUGGCCUUCCCACCGGGUCUCCGCCGGUGCUCUUGACUGAGUGUCGGCGGCGGCCGGAACGUUUACUUUGAAAAAAUUAGAGUGUUCAAAGCAGGCUCUCGAGCCUGGAUAAUGGUGCAUGGAAUAAUGGAAUAGGACCUCGGUUCUAUUUUGUUGGUUUUCGGAGCGCGAGGUAAUGAUUAAGAGGGACAGACGGGGGCAUUCGUACUGUGCCGUUAGAGGUGAAAUUCUUGGAUCGGCGCAAGACGAACGACUGCGAAAGCAUUUGCCAAGAAUGUUUUCUUUAAUCAAGAGCGAAAGUCAGAGGUUCGAAGACGAUCAGAUACCGUCCUAGUUCUGACUAUAAACGAUGCCAACUAGCGAUCGGGGGGCGUUACAUUGACGACCCCUCCGGCAGCUUACGGGAAACCAAAGUCUUUGGGUUCCGGGGGAAGUAUGGUUGCAAAGCUGAAACUUAAAGGAAUUGACGGAAGGGCACCACCAGGAGUGGAGCCUGCGGCUUAAUUUGACUCAACACGGGAAAUCUCACCCGGCCCGGACACAGUGAGGAUUGACAGAUUGAGAGCUCUUUCUUGAUUCUGUGGGUGGUGGUGCAUGG
rnacentral:ncRNA from 1 species